rnacentral:lncRNA from 1 species
AGAUGUGUUUAUCUAAUAAAGUAAUAAGUAAUAAGAAUCACUGCUCAAUUGAUAAAAUCAGAUCUUUAUAGAUUGACCCAUUCUCUAAUUACUGAGGUUUAAUUUCUAGUUUUUGCUAAUUACCGAGUCUCUAUCUCUAGGCCUAAUAAUUCCCUUAAUGCCCACAAACAUAAGUAGGUAGGAAUCAAAUUUCUAUGUAUCCACAAGGACCCUAUCUCAAAAUUUCCCAAACUGAAAUCACUUUUAUAUCCUAUUACCCAGAGCCUGAUUUAGUUUAGUUAUGUCUAAAUUGAGGGCAAGGUUGUCCAUUCAAGCCAGAAAACUUGACGUCAUCUUGGACAAUUUCAACAGCGCACACUCUCUUAAAAUUGUCUGCGUCGUUAGUAGAUUUUAAUCUCCAAAAUCAUUUUUUCAUCUUCUUUUCCAACUCCAUGGUACUGCUUCAUCACUGGAUGAUAGAGUUUCUUGAUUGACUGGUUCUGACUGUGAUGAACAAACUUCAUGAAAGAUCGGCCAUCCUGAAAGCCUACUCUUUGCUCAAGGCACGCAGAGAAAAAAACAGUGUCAGGAUGUUCAUGUUAAACAGUGAAUCCUAGAACACAGUUCAGAUGAUAAUAAAAAUCAAACACUGAUCCUGUGGAUUGUCCUGUCAACAUGUGAGUUCAGAUCACAACCGUGCCUGGUUUCAUGUGGAUAUAGGACACGUGUUUGGAAGGAGAAGGAUUUGAGAACAGGAAUGAACUCGUGUCAAUUUUAAGAGCUUGUGGAACCCCAGACCCUAAAAGCACCAGUAAGCUGUGUUUUAGGCUAAAAGGGCUUCUAACUUAUAGGGAUGUUUCCAGGUUAUCUUAGCCAACUCAGGACCCCCCAAGCCUCAUCUGAGUCUUACAGUCCUCUGGGUUGUGCAUAAGAUCCCUGCAGUGGGGGUGAGAAAAAAGGACAGCUGUCCAGUGACUAUUAGAUGGGGACAAGUGGUCAUUAGGUGUCAGCUGCUUGAACACCUGAUCAUUUUGGACACCUAUAUCUUAAUGGAUAUUGGGGAUCAACUUGCCCAAUCAAAUUGCUGGCUCUUCCUUUUUAGUUCCUAACAAGAUUUUAUCUUAAGUACAUUUGUAUCCUUCUAGGAUUACCAGGAAACAUCUGACUGCUUUCCCUUGACAAUUUAUAUCUAAGAGAGACUCAGGUCCUUAUACCUCCUGUGCAGGCGUGCACACAGGUAAGUUUGUUAUAGCUCCUUUUACUUGCUGAAGAAUACAACAAUAUAUGAGUCACCUCCUGACUGACAACCAGGUAUGUGAUUGUACAUAAAUAUAUCUAUAUCAUCUGUUUCUACACCUAGAUCUGUAUGUACUUCCUGAGCUUGUACCUUGACUCUUAAACAUUUAGACCUCUCCAAGGCCUGCACUUUAGACUUCUUUUUGGGAUUUUCCAGUGGGCAGGCAGUGCAGAGAGAGCCAGGGGCAUUUCUCAAAGAUCCACUACAGUCUAGGUCAGUAGAGGGUAAACUUCUUUUUCUAAACAGCCUGCUUAUAAAUAUUUUCAGCUUUGCAGGUCAUAUAGCCUCUGUCACAACUAAGGUAGCUGUGAACAAUAUGUAAAGGGAUAAAAGCUUUCCAAUAAUACUUUAUUUAUACUAACAAUCUGCAGAUUGGGUGUGGUCCUUGGGCUGUUGUUUGCUAGUUUCUGGACCACUGGAAGGCUCUGUCUUCAUCCUUCACCCCUCUUUGAGUGAAAGCAGGUUUUGGUGUGUUCUCCCAAAUCUUUAUACCUUAUACCUGAGUCUUAACUUAUGAAAUAAACAACAACAACUAAGACUGUGUGUCUUGCAUCCUUCUCUGCACUGUCAUCACACCCUUCUCUGAGGCCCCGGUGUGUGCAGCUGACUAUAGGGCAGAAGGGCAAACAUGACAGGGAUGAGUAGGGAAAAGCCCAGGGGAUCAUCUGUCAAAGGUUCCCUAAUGUCCUAUUUUUGUCUGCAUGCUUUUUUUUUUUUUUUGCUUACUAUUUCUUUUUUUGGAAAUUUCUUUAUGUGAUGAAUUCUACUUUGCAUUUAGGACUGACUGCGUAUUUUUGGCUCCUCUCCAGACCCUAAAGGGAAACAUUUGGAGUCAAUCACAUGCUUUGAUGCAGUGCUGAGUAAUGAAGUGUUCCCAUGUCUAAGUAAGAGCCAACUGUGUAAUUGAAUAUCUUCCAGAUUGUAUCAAGAUUGUAUCAAACAUCUUGAUAGAGAAUAAUGGUGACAACUUUGUUUAUAUAGUGUUUCUCAGCAUUAUUUUAUAAAUUGUUUCUAAGGAUGUGUCUCAUUAAUACUAAAAAUAUUCCCGUACUAAAUUCACACUUUUUUGUUAAUGUUGUUUUAAGAAAUCAAAAUCCCUUAUCAUCAUAUGUCAUCAUUAUUUAUUCCAGUCUGUGGAAUAAAUAUUAAGUCCAUGUUUAUGGAGAUUAUAUGCUAUCAAUUUUAGUAACAAUUACAGGUGAUGUACAUGUUAUAUCUCAAUUAUCCUUCUCCAAAGACCAGAGCUUCCUUGAAUAUUCCUAAAUCAUGAAAUAUUAUUAAUUAGCUAUACAAUAACAUACCCAUGACUCAAACAUAUUGAUGACUUAUCUACCUGUGGUUUUGAGCCAAGAAAAAGUACAAAGAGCAUUUUUAAUUCCUUUAUUUCCCUCAAGUAUUUACUCAUUUUCUCCUGAAGAAUAAAUACUGAAUGAAAUUGUCUAUAUCUGCAAUUACACUUUGAACUAUUUGAUAUCUGGAACUUUGUAUUUACCUUUGAUUUUUCUAAUAUUUAGAAGAGUUCUUAGAACAUAGUAGAUAAUCGGUAAUAUUGUUGAAAGUAACUGAUAUAAAAAUAAUGAUAUUGCAAAUUGAGUAAAGUUAUUUUCAAAAAGAUAGGAUAUUAUAUCAAGUUAAAAAUUUGGUGGUUUUGCCAUUAUGAGUAAAGACAAGUUCUAGAUUGGUUUUUGUUUCUGCAUCAAGUAUAUUAACAAUGAUCUUCAUUUUCAGCUUUAUUCUAGGAGGAGUGAGAACUUGACGCCUUUUCUGAAACAAGUUUAACGUAAACUUCUUCACAUUAAAUUUAGCAACGAAAUUACCAACUUAAUUUCAUUAAGAUUUUCUGGACCAACUUAUUUUUCAUAGAACCAAUUCUGUGCACUUACAUUUUAUCACUACAUGUAAGAGUUCAAAUUGAAAUAAUAACUACACUUGGCAUAAACAGGUGGGGAAGCAGAUACAACUGCUGUUAGUAGACCAAUAAUUCAUCUUUUAGGAGCAGAGAUGGGCAAUGUUCUAGAAAUAAUCUUGGAAGUCUUGAGAGUUCCACAUGUGGAAAUGGAAGGCCUCAGUGUGCUCAAAGUGACAGCUAAAGAUUAGCUCAGGGAGGUUUACUGUUUAUAAGAUAGGCUCUUGAUAACAAUGUUGUGAUCAAAAUAAUGAAGCCAGUGUUGAUGUAAUGAAUAAGAACUGGUGCGAUAAAUGUAUAUUUGGUGUCAGAAAUUUUCAAAAUGUUGAAAAUAUGAAAUCAUAAAAUAUUUUCACUCAAAAUCUGGGCAGUAAAUAUGAUUGUAUGUACAGCCAUGCAGCUAUUCUGAAAAGUAAUUAAAUUGCUAUUUAAGAUGAAUUUAUUAUUUCCCAUUCUAUAGAUUUGAGGAGGUGCAGGAAAAAAUACACUUUGGACUCCAAGAUAUUUUACCUAAAAGCGAAAUGUGUACUUAGUGUGGUAUUACAAUAACCCAAGCUUUGGAUUUGGGACCAAAAAAAUCUAUUUUCUCGCCUAUCAGUCUCUGAAGUAGAAAGAAUCCAGCAUUUCCAGUUGCAAAUGCAAUCAGAAGAGAAUUUUUUUACAUUCUUAUAACACCAAGAAUGUAUUUAUCAACUUGAAGAAAAUUCUCUGAAUUUCCUCUAAGUAAAAUAAAUACUGAUAUGUUAAAUGUUUUGUUGUUUACUAUCUCUAGUACUAUGCUCCCUUUGAGAUCUCAAUAACCAUUCCUAAUUCACCUUUCUGCUCAAAGGACUAUGAUUACUGCCCAUUGGAAAAGGCAAGAUGACAGGAAAACACAGGAAUUAGGGACGUUAUUAUUUCAAAUUGUUUUCUCAAGUGAUUUUUCUCUCAAUAUUCACCCCCAAUAAGAAGAAUUGAGGCAAUGUUGAAUCUAUUUUCCUUCUAGACUUUAACUUAAUUGUGUAUACUUGAAGAUUAAUUUUAUAAGAUUUGAUUCAGAUAAAAUAAUUUGUAAUCAAAUUUGAUUAAAAUUUGUAUUGCAAUUGUGCUGAGGCAGCCAAACCAGCACACAUGAUGAAAGCUUGAUAAAGCUGCUAUUAUUCUGUUACAGAAUGUUUUAAAUCCCUUCAGUUAUCACCUGUCAAUCUAACCCACGUGAGAAUGUGUAGUGAUGGCUUAUUCUAGCUCAUUGAUUGCUUCGUAGUCAUUUGAUAUAAAUGCUUCAGUUUUCCUAAUUUGCUUACCUUAUUUUGGCCACAUGUUAA